GGCCGAUGCCAAGCUGCCAGAUGCACAGUCCGGUUACGAGAAGGCCUACACCAACGUGCUGGCCGGACACAGCGGUACUAAUCUGGUCUACGAGGCU
rnacentral:ncRNA from 1 species